GCCUAACACAUGCAAGUCGAACGGUAGCACAGAGAGCUUGCUCUCGGGUGACGAGUGGCGGACGGGUGAGUAAUGUCUGGGAAACUACCUGAUGGAGGGGGAUAACUACUGGAAACGGUAGCUAAUACCGCAUAACGUCUUCGGACCAAAGUGGGGGACCUUCGGGCCUCACACCAUCGGAUGUGCCCAGAUGGGAUUAGCUAGUAGGUGGGGUAAUGGCUCACCUAGGCGACGAUCCCUAGCUGGUCUGAGAGGAUGACCAGCCACACUGGAACUGAGACACGGUCCAGACUCCUACGGGAGGCAGCAGUGGGGAAUAUUGCACAAUGGGCGCAAGCCUGAUGCAGCCAUGCCGCGUGUAUGAAGAAGGCCUUCGGGUUGUAAAGUACUUUCAGCGGGGAGGAAGGCGAUAAGGUUAAUAACC
rnacentral:rRNA from 1 species